UACGUAGGGGGCAAGCGUUGUCCGGAUUUAUUGGGCGUAAAGAGCUCGUAGGCGGUCUGUCGCGUCUGCUGUGAAAUCCCGAGGCUCAACCUCGGGCUUGCAGUGGGUACGGGCAGGCUAGAGUGCGGUAGGGGAGAAUGGAACUCCUGGUGUAGCGGUGGAAUGCGCAGAUAUCAGGAAGAACACCGAUGGCGAAGGCAGUUCUCUGGGCCGUGACUGACGCUGAGGAGCGAAAGCGUGGGGAGCGAACAGG
rnacentral:rRNA from 1 species